UAAAAGUGAUCGUUUGCUGUAUUAAGCAAUUCCUCUCAGUUCACUGCUGACGGGGCCUUUAGUGCUGGUGGCUCUCCACAGAGAUCUCUGGUCUGGCUAGGUGUGCGGAUUCAGGAAAAGGGGAGAGAAUUUGGACAGGGAGGGGCAUGGCUUUUCGCUGCCUCCACUGGUGCUGCUCCACCUCUGUUUCUAGCCUGGCUGAGCCAGCAGGAGACUGACUGGUGGGCGAGGGGUGCAGGAGAGCUUCUGGCAGCAAUUUCAGGAGAGAUCUUUUCCCCAAGCAGCAGUGUUACAGCUCUUAUGACAGAAGCUCUCAGACAAUGGAAUAAUUCUUGCACCUUUUAAGCCUUCUGAACAGGAUUCUUAAAAACAGUUUUUGGGACCGGUCAGGGUCUGAUAGCAGGUACUUCCUAUUGGUUUGGUCUGAGAGCUUGGGAAUACGUCAUAUACAUGUUUGGGGGCGUGGUCCUGCUUCUUUGUGACAGAUCUUUCUGUAGCCUAUGUAACCUGUGGUCAUGUUCUCCCCUGUGGAGGAGGGGCUUAGUGCGUUGCCCUAUGUGACUGAUCUGUCUCAAACUCUCUACAGGGGGUUGUGGAGGGCUGAGGGGCCUGACCUCCUAGAAGACUUGGAAUACUCCUGCCAUCCCUUUUAGUGUCUCCGCGGAUUGGACCUAUCUCAACCAGGAAUCAGGAAAAAGAGCUGGAAGAAACGAAGCAGCACAUAUUAAGACCAAUAGACUAGCCUAACUCUACAUGAACCCACGUCCUUCGGAUUACACGCCUAUUGCUCUUCCGCACGUACCUUUCACGUAUACAGUUUCGUAUAUCCCUACAGAUUCUCAUGAAGACCCUCUCAUGGAUAUUAAAACAUAGAGCUGGGUGCAGGGGUGCAAAGAGAACACAGCAGAUCAAACCAGAAGGAUUGGAACCCCAAGGCCAGAAUGGGCUAGAGAGGGAGUUGAAGGUUGGCUCAGUCAGCGAACAUAAGGAAUCCCUGCCUCUCGCCUUUGAAAAAGUAAACAACGGCUACAAAAGUGGGAGUCAGAGAGUCUAGUGAUGUGCAGUUCAGUGGUAGAGUCCUAUCCUCGUAUCAACUAAGCCUUAGGGGCAACAUGCAGCACAAGAAUACAAUAAACAAACACAUGCAUAAAGACGUAAACAAAUGAGAAUGGAAACACUGGAUUCUGGACUAUCUACAGCAUGAUGCAAAGAGAGGAGAGAGGAUGACUUUGAAAGGGAAAAGUCUGCUUGGCAGAAAACCUUCUGGCCAGCUAGUUCUCCGAAAGUCAGCCUGGAGGCAGGCGUCCCUAAAUAGGAUGGACUCUUCUGCCUCACCCCUCCUGGGAGUGGGGAGGAUGGUAAUUAGCACUUGAAAGCUGAGGCAGGCGCUAAAGUUGAUGGCCUCGCUGCAGGGAGCCUUUAAUAUAAAGUGCUGCCUUCAUUAGCGAUGCAGAGAAUAAGCUUCCCUGAUCUCUCUCAAGAUUGAAAAGGGAAAAUAUGCUUUGGAAAUCUACCUUUUUCUAAGUGACAGGGAGAAAGAAUUCCCUGGACAUCUGUCGGUUUAAUCGUACGUCAUGGACCUGCCCUGCAUACAGAAAGGAUUCACUUACAAAACGAUCUUCAUUAAAAAAAAAAAAAAGAAAGAAAA